rnacentral:rRNA from 1 species
CGGGUGAGUAAUGCUUGGGAAUCUAGCUUAUGGAGGGGGAUAACUAUGGGAAACUGUAGCUAAUACCGCGUAGAAUCGGGAGAUGAAAGUGUGGGACCUUCGGGCCACAUGCCAUAGGAUGAGCCCAAGUGGGAUUAGGUAGUUGGUGAGGUAAAGGCUCACCAAGCCGACGAUCUCUAGCUGGUCUGAGAGGAUGAACGGCCACAUUGGGACUGAGACACGGCCCAGACUCC